rnacentral:lncRNA from 1 species
GCUGCCCGGAGCCUCACUUGCUCGAAGUAGAGCACCUGGACGACCACCUGGACAGGUAAUCUCUCGUUUUGCGCUGCGUGAGAGCACGCCUCUUGCGAUAGCUUCUGGACGUCCAUGAGCUUACAGAUUUUUUUUCUUUCUCCCUCCGAAAGGUUGGAAUGGGCCUGUUCAAGCGGACAAGCGAGGAAAAACGUUUUGUUUUUUACUUGUUAGAACACACUGAAGAACAAAGCACGUAAGUUAAAAAAACUUUGAGUUGUUUUACUCACCUUGAGAUAGAUGUCGAUUGCUCGGUACAAUCCAUCGUUGACAACUCUUGCGUAGUCCGGGACGAGCUCGGCCAGAGCGUAGAACUUGAGGAGCUUGAGGUUUGUAUCGGGAGCAAUCUCCGCGAGGUAAUUGUCUAUGAGCUUUGCGACUUUGAUGGCUGCGCUUUGUGACGGGGGACUGGUACUCUCAGAUUCGUAGCCGCCGGCUUGAGAGUCUUCCUUCUCCUUGUGCUGGAGGAAGUUUAUCACCAGUCUUUGGACGACGUCCACAUCGAACAAGGUGUCGCAAGUGAAGGACAUGGAUGGUAUGAGUAGAUCGUCCAGCGCUGCCUGAUCCAUUUGCAUUCCUAUUCUUUGCUCCAGCUCGAUGCGGCAGCUGAUGGAUGCGUCUAGAAUUAUGGCCGAGCGAAGCAAGCCAAAGAGGAAGCUGCAGCUUAUAGAGUUCUUCUCGCAAGGUAGCAUGCUUGUAAGUGUUUCCACUAAUGCUCGUUGUUCCUGCUCCAGAAUUGAAGGAAUACCAGAGUCGUGAACCGUUGCUGCUG